UAAAAUUUUGCUAGAGUAUUAAUAGUUAUUUUCUUUAAAUUCAAAGAAUUUGGCGGUAUUUUAGUCCUUUUAGAGGAACCUGUUUCGUAAACGAUACUCCACGAAAAUCUUACCUAUUAUAUAAAUUUGUAUACCGUUAUUAUUAGAUAACUUUGAAAAAAUUAGUUAUUAUGGUUAAAUGGGUUAAGUAAAUUAAAUCAAGGUGCAGUUUAUGAGUAGGAGAAAAUGGGUUACAAUAAAAAUAAUUUAAAUGAAUUUGUCUAUGAAGUUAGAUAAUGAAGGUGGAUUUAAUUGUAAUAUUAAUAAUUAUAAUAAUUUGAUAUAGGCUCUAGA
rnacentral:rRNA from 1 species